GAGUUUGAUCGUGGCUCAGAUUGAACGCUGGCGGCAUGCCUUACACAUGCAAGUCGAACGGCAGCAUGAUCUAGCUUGCUAGAUUGAUGGCGAGUGGCGAACGGGUGAGUAAUACAUCGGAACGUGCCCUGUAGUGGGGGAUAACUAGUCGAAAGAUUAGCUAAUACCGCAUACGACCUGAGGGUGAAAGUGGGGGACCGCAAGGCCUCAUGCUAUAGGAGCGGCCGACGUCUGAUUAGCUAGUUGGUGGGGUAAAGGCCCGACCAAGGCGACGAUCAGUAGCUGGUCUGAGAGGACGAUCAGCCACACUGGGACUGAGACACGGCCCAGACUCCUACGGGAGGCAGCAGUGGGGAAUUUUGGACAAUGGGCGAAAGCCUGAUCCAGCAAUG
rnacentral:rRNA from 1 species